UUAACUAUUACUUCCAACUGGGCACAGUGGCGCACAUGCCUAUAGUCCUAGCUACUCAGGAAACUGAGGUGGGAAGAUUGCAUAAGCUCACACGCCUAGUCCAGCCUGGGCAACAUAGCAAAAUCCUACCUCUAAAACAACAACAACAAAAAACUAUGAUUCCAUUCCACUUCUCCCACAGAAUUUUGUCCUAAUAGGAUAUAUUUUAUGCUUGAAAGUCUUUUUUAUUGCCCACCAUACUUCUCUGCCUCAAAAAUAUAUGUAUUUUGGAUUUUUUUUUUUUUUGAGGUGGAGUCUCACUCUGUCACCCA
rnacentral:lncRNA from 10 species